AUUGAACGCUGGCGGCAUGCUUUACACAUGCAAGUCGAACGGCAGAACGAAAGAGCUUGAUCUUUUGGUGGCGAGUGGCGCACGGGUGAGUAAUGCAUCGGAACGUACUGAGUAAUGGGGGAUAACUGUCCGAAAGGAUAGCUAAUACCGCAAACGCUUUGAGAAGGAAAGUGGGGGCUCUUCGGACCUCACGUUAUUCGAGCGGCCGAUGUCUGAUUAGCUAGUGGGUGGGGUAAAGGCCUACCAAGGCGACGAUCAGUAGCGGGUCUGAGAGGAUGAUGCGCCACACUGGGACUGAGACACGGCCCAGACUCCUACGGGAGGCAGCAGUGGGGAACUUUGGACAAUGGGCGCAAGCCGGACCCAGCCAUGCCGCGUGGCUGAAGAAGUCCUUCGGGUUGUAAAGUCCUUUUUUUAGGGAAGAAAAGUAUAGUGUUAAUACCAUUAUCUGCUGACGGUACCUAAAGAAUAAGCACCGGCUAACUACGUG
rnacentral:rRNA from 1 species